rnacentral:pre_miRNA from 1 species
AAAUGCUAUACCUACAUGGUUUUAGUGCUGAAAAUGGAAUUCAAGUGCUGACCGACAAAUCCCUCAUAAAAGUUGAUGGCAAUGGUUGUGUGAGAAUGCAUGACUUAGUUCAAGACAUGGGCAGAGAAAUCGUGAGGCAGGAAUCAAC